rnacentral:rRNA from 1 species
AUGAAGAGGAAGAGUACAACAACAAUAGAUUCGGUUUUCAAGCAUAUUGCUUCUAGCUCUAAUGCAACUGAAAAUGCAAAUCCACCAGAGGAGCAACCUGUUGUAGAUGAUACUUCUAGCCCCAAUCUAGUUGAUAUGCAAACUGAUGAUCAUAAUAUUGUGGCACCACUAGAAACUUUAGAAGAAGGUAGAACUAGAAGCACAAAAUAUAUGAGGGAUCCUGGUACACGCCAACAGAUUUGGGAACUCCAUCCCGAUAAGCAGGAUGAAGCACGUCGAUUCUAUGUUUCUGAGGGCGCUUUUCAUCUAUACAUGAAAGAGUAUCCAUAUAAUGGAACGGUAAAAAACCGUCGCCGAUUCCAGUAUAGUUAUUUCACUGAUUGGACUUGGCUAGAGUAUUCACUUGUCACACAUCGUGCAUAUUGCUUCUAUUGUUUCCUCUUUACGAAAAAGCCAACUGGAAAGUGUGGUUCAAGUGCAUUCAUAGUGGAUGGAUUUAUAAACUGGAGAAAAGUGAAUGAUGGCAAAGAUUGUGCUUUUAUAACCCAUAUGGGCAAAGAUUCCAACUGAGCUAAUAGCUAUUCAGCCCAUUGUUAUGAAAAUCUGAAAAAAUAGAUUGAACAUAUUGACAAGGCGAUGGUACAAGUAUGUACAAAAAAGGUUGCAGCUGCAAGGUUAAGACUUAAAGUCACAAUUGAUUCCAUUAGGUGGUUAACAUUCCAAGCUUGUCCAUUUAGAGGCCAUGAUGAAUCUCCAGGAUCCCUAAACCAGGGUAAUUUUCUUGAGUUGGUAAAGCUUUUGGCUGCUUAUAACAAGGAUAUCAGAGAUGUUGUCUUGGAAAAUGCUCCACAAAAUGCCAAGUACACAUCACACCCCGUUCAACAAGAAAUCCUUGGUUUACUUUCCAUUAAAGUGCAGAAAAGUAUUAGAGAAGAAAUUGGCAACAUCAAAUGUAUAAUGGUGGACGAGUGAGAUGAAUCUAAAAAGGAGCAUAUGGCACUGGUCAUUCGGUUUGCUAAUAAAGAAGGGUACAUAGAUGAGCGCUUCCUUGACAUCAUACAUGUUAGUGACACUGCUGCAUUGACGCUCAAGGAGGCAAUUUGUACUGUAUUAGAAGAUAAUAAUCUGGAUGUGCAAGAUAUCAGAGGUCAAGGAUACGACGACGCAAGUAACAUGCGAGGGGAAUGGAAUGGAUUGAAAGCUCUAAUAUUAAAUGAGUGCAUGUAUGCUUAUUAUGUCCACUACAUGGCGCAUCAGCUCCAAUUGGCUCUUGUUGCAGCAUCACAAGAGGUACACGAGGUGCAUAAUUUUUUUCAGCAUGCAAAUUUUGUGACAAAUGUUGUUAGUGCAUCGUCUAAACGGAAUGGUGAGUUAUUAGCUAAUCAAGCUGCUGAAAUUGCACUUCUACGAAGUGUAGCAAAUGAUCGUUCAGUCACAAGAUAUUCUCGUGGAGAUGCAGUGGGCGCCCUAAAGAUGGUUAUCUCUUUUUAUUUUGUAUUCAUUCUACACCUCGUGAAGAAAAUUAUGAAGAUCAUAGAUGUUUUAUGUCAAAUUCUCCAAAGGAAGUCUCUGUAUAUUUUAAACGCAUUAGAUUGUGUUGCAAACACAAAGUUUCUACUUGCUGAACUAAGAGAAGAUGGUUGGGAACCACUUCGAAAAGAGAUUAAAUCUUUUUGUCUAAAGCAUGAUAUUGACAUCCCCGAUUUUAGUUCCAACAACACCACAACACUUCACCAUUAUAAAGCAGAUGUAUUAAAUGUUGCCAUAGAUCAGCAGUUGGUCGAGCUAAAUGAUCGGUUCAGCAUUCAAAGCACUGAGCUAUUGAGGCUUUGUGUAUCCUUGAAUCCAUUGCAUGACACAUUUGAUACACUAUUGCGGUUGGUUAUUACUCUUCCAGUUUCAAUGGCAACCACUGAGCGAGCCUUUUCUGCUAUGAAACUGAAGACACAUCUUCGAGGCAAAAUGGGUGAUGACUUACUUCAACAUUACAUGAUCGUCUACAUUGGAAAGGAUAUAGCUGCAAAAGUCACAUCUGAUGAGAUUAUCCACAUUUUUGACGAUGGUACUCGUAGAGCUGAAUUUCAGUUGAUAGAUAUGUAA